rnacentral:tRNA from 1 species
CGCGGGGUGGAGCAGCUUGGUAGCUCGUCGGGCUCAUAACCCGAAGGUCGGAGGUUCAAAUCCUCCCCCCGCUA